CGGCGGACGGGUGGGUAACGCGUGGGUAACCUGCCUUGUACAGGGGGAUAACAGUUGGAAACGGCUGCUAAUACCGCAUAAGCGCACGGCAUCGCAUGAUGCAGUGUGAAAAACUCCGGUGGUAUAAGAUGGACCCGCGUUGGAUUAGCUAGUUGGUGAGGUAACGGCCCACCAAGGCGACGAUCCAUAGCCGACCUGAGAGGGUGACCGGCCACAUUGGGACUGAGACACGGCCCAA
rnacentral:rRNA from 1 species